GCCUGGCUGGCUCAGUCAGAGGAGCAUGCGAUUCUUGAUCUCGGGAUUGUGAGUUCAAGUCCCAUGUUAGGUG
rnacentral:tRNA from 1 species